UUUUGAGUGUAAGUAUGUCCCAUGCAAUAUUUGGGACAUACUUAUACUUUGU
rfam:Pan troglodytes isolate Yerkes chimp pedigree #C0471 (Clint) chromosome 12, whole genome shotgun sequence.